CUACUCUAUUUAAUUGGAAGCGCUUCUAGAAGGCGCAACCAACAGAAGCCGAUAAUUUUAUCGUAGCUAGACAAUCGCUUGAAGAUAGAAAAGGAUGAAGCUUUCAAGGUCCGCAAUUUUGUUUAUAUCACUGGUGCUCUUCGCAGUCCUUUUCUGCAAGGUAGACUGCAAUUAUGGGUACAUUCGGUUUGGUCGUGACUUCAAGAGGCGUCCACUCAGCAAAGUUAGGGCUAUAGCACGGACAGGAGCUAGAGGAAGUGUGAGAUUGAGGAGCCAAGAACAAGACACAAGAAAUGCUGCUGCAUACGGGUAUGGAACACAGGAGGAACAGGCGUUCCAGUUGAAUCAGUGGUGAACAAAACCUGAUCAGCAGUUUAUGCUUGUCAAUUGUUUCGAAGAGGACAGAUGUGAUGAGUUUGGCUACUGAAAUGAAGAAGACAAUUUAUUUGUAUUGAGUUGAUUCUCUAAAUAAAUGCGCAAUUGUGUGAUUGAGCCAA